rnacentral:rRNA from 1 species
AUGGAGGGGGCUGGGAUCCACGGCCGGAGGCGGAGAGAGAUGGAGGGGGAACUCAGGAAGGAGACGGAGAUGGAGUCCAGCAAGGGGACGGAGAUGGAGUCCAGCAAGGGGACGGAGUAUGAGAAGAAACUCGAGAUUCUCAUGAAGGCUCGGCACGAUGUCACGAGGCUGCUCAAGAAAGGCAAGUACCCGGCCAGGCAUAGGGCACUCUUGCAUACCCAGCAGCAUUUCUUGUCGGAGGAGCGAAAUAUCCUCAGGAUGAUGGGCAAGUCCCGGACGGAGAUUCAUAGGUAUCCCGAUUCCGAUUCUGGCGAUGAGAUGGGCAGAGCUUCAGGGUCCCUCGUAGGUAUGGAGCCCCAAUUGGGAAUCAACAAGCGGACGGAGAUGGAUGGGGAGCUCAGGAAAGAGCAGGAGAGUAUCAGGAAGCUUCGGGACCAACUCACCAAGACUUGUGAAUCCUCCACGGACCCGGCGACGCAGAGGAUAUUCUUGGAUCAGCUGGAUAUACUCUGGAGGGAGGAGGACACACUCCUCACCAUGAUGAGCGAGUCCGGGAUGGACGUUCAGAGGGCUUCCGGUUCCGAUAUCGAUUCCGAUUCCGAUUCCGGUUCCGGUUCUGGUGAUGAGAUGGGCAGUUCGGGGGUGCACCCAUCCCUCAUAAGGAUGGAGUGGAGACUCAGGAAGGAGAUGGAGAGGAAUUCCAGCAAGGGGACCGAGAUCGAGUCCGGCAAAGAGCAGGAGAUGGAGGGCAAACUCAGCAAGGAGCACAAACUCAGCAAGGAGCACCAGAGACUCAGGAAGGUUCGGUCCCAACUCAACAAGAGGUGCCAGUCCACCAAGGACCCGGCGACGCAAAGGAUACUCUUGACUCAGCAGGAGAUACUCUGGACCAAGGAGCAAGCACUCCUCACGAUCAUGAGGCAGUCGGGGAUGGAGAUUGAGAGGGAUCCCGAUUCCGAUUCCGGCAAUGAGAUGGGCAGAGAUUCUCCCCUCAUAAGUAUGGAGUGGGGACUCAGCAAGGGGACGGAGAGAGACACUGGUGGCAAGGAGAUGGGUCUGAUGGCCAAUGGCUUGGUUGUUGCUCUUUCUAGCCACCUUGAGGUGCUUAGGAGGGAGAUCUCGUUCCUGAGGACAGAGGUCACGUCCCGGGGCAAUGGGUUGGCUGGAAAUGGAAACAAGGCUGAUCAAGAGCACAUCAUCAUGUCUAACCUGUCCCUCGAUGACACUCUACUCAAGAAGAAGGUGAAUUUGCCUUACCUCGGUUGUGAGACUGAGGAUGUAAUGGAUUUCCCGCUCGUCGAGACGCAGCAGUUGCUCUAUCGCUUCAACUCUUUCGCGUCCAUUCUACAAAAAUUCAGAAUCCCCAUAUCUUCGCACAAGAUUCAGAAGCUGCGUCUCAUAUCCAAUGCACUUGUGGGCAUCUCGGAGCUUAUCAAAAGGCACAAAUCUGCUGCUGCCAAGGGUCAUGGAGAUCAUUUGGACCGUGCAGGCUGGGAUGCUACGUGGGGAUGCUCGACGAGAAAACAUGGUGCCUUUGACGACAUAACGACAUUGAGUCCUAUGCAAUUCACGGCUUGCACGCCUGGAAUCUUCCCAUUCUCGUCCGUGGCAGGCCCUGCCUUGCAGAUCUAUUCAGUCAGGCUCGUUAAUCUUAACCGGAAUCUGAGUUGGCCACUUGAUGUCUACGGCGUGGUCGCUGCACGGGACGAUUUUGACCACAACCUCAACAUUCUCUUCCGCCGGUCAAGUGCAAACUGCCAAAGAAUUAAGAAAGAGGACCCUUUCUUGCACUUGAUUGGCCCGUCUCGUGCAAUUGUGGCUGGCGAACCUGUUUUGUUUCAAAUUGACCUGAAAUUGAAGUAUGGAGCACAGUUUGAACAUACAGCAUCGUUCACUGCCAACCAAAGUUACCGCUCUAUCAAGCGGUGUGACACCAUGCAGAUCCGCAACUCCUGUUGUACAGCAAAGAUAAGACUUGGGCGAGUUGCUCCAGCAAUCCAGGCCACAAUAGUAGGUGUUCGUGUGGUUGAAGGGGAGUGGCCUUUUAAGUAUGGAUGUAACGUUUCUUGCUUGUUUUCUCCUGCUGAUGCAACGGAGGGAUGCGCCGCAGAAGUCGUCUUGCUUGACUGUCGUGCUAAAAAGAUGCGUGCAGCAUCAGAUGGGUAUCUUUCUUUGUCAAGAAAUGUUGUGGCAGUGGGAUUGCAGGGCACACUCCGAGUCGUCACAGGAGCAUACUCAAAGUCCGGACUCAAUAUUGUUCGAAAAUAUCAUGUCGAAUUUCCUAUCCAGCAGUGUCAGACAAAUAGUUGUAGAUGCUCAGUUGACCGCUCUACAUUGGAGAUAGUUGUUGCUUGGUCUCGCCUUGUCAUGGACAAGCAUGAUCAUGUACUUGAUGGUUAUUGA